AGUGAACGCUGGCGGUAGGCCUAACACAUGCAAGUCGAACGGCAGCACAGUAAGAGCUUGCUCUUACGGGUGGCGAGUGGCGGACGGGUGAGGAAUACAUCGGAAUCUACUUUUUCGUGGGGGAUAACGUAGGGAAACUUACGCUAAUACCGCAUACGACCUACGGGUGAAAGCAGGGGAUCUUCGGACCUUGCGCGAUUGAAUGAGCCGAUGUCGGAUUAGCUAGUUGGCGGGGUAAAGGCCCACCAAGGCGACGAUCCGUAGCUGGUCUGAGAGGAUGAUCAGACAGACUGGAACUGAGACACGGUCCAGACUCCUACGGGAGGAAGCAGUGGGGAAUAUUGGACAAUGGGCGCAAGCCUGAUCCAGCCAUACCGCGUGGGUGAAGAAGGCCUUCGGGUUGUAAAGCCCUUUUGUUGGGAAAGAAAAGCAGCAGGUUAAUACCCCGCUGUUCUGACGGUACCCAAAGAAUAAGCACCGGCUAACUUCGUG
rnacentral:rRNA from 1 species